rnacentral:ncRNA from 1 species
UAAAAGACGUUGAUUAGGAAGAGUAUAUUCAGAAGCUUUAAAGAGAGAGAGAUCCUAGGCUGAGAGAUUUCUUAAGAUGGAUGAAUAGAAGGUCGCCUAUGAGUCACUUUGUUGAAAUAAAUUAGGCAGAGUCGGAGUAACCGUUAGCUUUUUUGAGUGUGUACAUCUUAGGUAUGGAUAGAUGUACAAACAAAGGUGGUACCGCGAAUAUAACUCUCUUCGUCCUUUGG